UACGUAGGGGGCAAGCGUUGUCCGGAUUUAUUGGGCGUAAAGAGCGUGUAGGCGGCCAUGUAGGUCCGUUGUGAAAACUCGAGGCUCAACCUCGAGACGCCGAUGGAAACCAUGUGGCUAGAGUCCGGAAGAGGAGAGUGGAAUUCCUGGUGUAGCGGUGAAAGUGCGCAGAUAUCAGGAGGAACACCGGUGGCGAAGGCGGUUCUCUGGGCAUGUCCUGACGCUGAGGAGCGAAAGUGUGGGGAGCGAACAGG
rnacentral:rRNA from 1 species